rnacentral:tRNA from 1 species
GCCUGGGUGGCUCAGUCGGUUGAGUGUCUGACUUCGGCUCAGGUCAUAAUCUCAGUUUGUGAGUUCGAGACCCACGUUGGGCU